UCCACGGAUAAAGAAUCUAUGGAUAUAGAGGGCGAACUGUAAUCACUGAUAGCUCCCAGUCAUGCUACCUCUAAUCCUGGAAGUAAUAUAUAGCUAUCAUAUAUUCCUUCCAGGAUUAGAGGUAGCAUGUGUCCAGAUGCCAUUUUUUAGGGAACACAAGUGGGAGUGUGCUAUUAUUUUUUGACGGGCUUGGGGGUUUCCCAUAAGCCUCUAGUUGGCGACUGUAAGAAUCAGGAGGCUGGAGUACAUAGGCCAUAAGUCAGACUCAGCAGGAUUUGCUAUUUUCUUGUCACAUAGGCUGCAAUGGAUUGAGAAAGAAAUAUGAUCACAAUGCAGGAUGUUUGAAUAGUGUUUCUGCCUUGCCCUGACCACUAUUUCCUCAGGGUCCAGAGAGAUGGGAGAAAUCAUGCAGAUCAAUGUUUAUUUUAUUUAGUGCUGUUAGGCAUGACUGGUUUGUCAAAGCAUUGCCUUUAGGUAAAAAUAAUGAUCUAAGAGAAAGGACACAUUAAAAGAAAGAACAAAGGAAAAGGAAAGUACUCUGAUGACAACCAAAAAAUUAUCAUUGCAGGAGAAACCCAAGGGUAGAUGAUUCCAGCUUGAGCCUUGUUGUGACUGUGUGCCUUCAAAGCCAUUUCCAACUCAUGGAAACCGUAAGGUGACUCUAUCAUGGCGUUUUCAUGGCAAGAUUUGUUCAGAGGAGAUUUGCCAUUGUCUUCCCAAGUCUCUCUUUCUGCUUCAGUUAGUUGGCAAUUCGUUUUAAAUUUUUUAGUCUCCAUUAUAUAGUCUGUAGUUAUCUUUUUCUCUCCUCUAUGUUGAAGAACAUAUGUUGCAGAGCCUUCCCUCAUGAGAUGUUGUGACACAUUUAAUAUUUGUUUGCAAAGGAGUUUGCCUUCCAUGGAAAGCAACAUGUUUAACUGUAAAUGCCAAGUACAAGGCAAGCCUUCCAAAACAACAACAGGGAGAUGGCAUGUGCCUGAACAGAGAUAAAAACCUUUCAGUCCUAUAAGCUCGGCACACUGUAGUCCAGGCUUGCAGAGUUGAAGCUAUGGAAACUUCUAAUCAAGAUAAUGUCAUCUGACUCCUUACUUUCCCUGUUUCCUCUGAGCUUCAGUGCAAUCCUCACAGCAGCUGCAGGUGGAAUAUGUAUCUUCCCAGAAACAACUUACUGUUGUGAGCCAUCCUUGCUAUUAUACAAAGCAUAUCACAGUGGAUUGGUUAAAACUGGACAAUUAAGACCCAUUAGCUUUACAAAAAAAUAGCUGCUAGUGGAGAUGAGGACUGCUAUAAGUGGUUUGUUGAUAUGAGUCAGCUGCCUUCAUUCAUGGAUUCUUUUUUUGGGGUGUGGCUAUGCAGACUGUAAGGUAGAGUGCUUGCAUGCUAAAAUGUACUACAGUACGUCUAAUCCUUAUAACCUAUUAGACUUUAGAUAUAUUGAAGUCCAUGGUGCUUUGGUUUUUUUUGGGGGGGGGUACUGUGGUGUAGAGACUUCACUGUAAUAUAUUAUGCACUACUUACAUGCAUGCUUAAGGCAUCAGAAUGGCUCUCUUCUUCCCCACUUUGAACUCACAACCAUUACGUCAGGUGGGUCAGACUGAGCAAAUGACUGAUCCUUAGUCACCCAAUGAAUUUUGUGGCUCAGUGGAGAUGUGAAUCUGCAACUCUCCAAUCUAAUACAGUAUUUUAAUCACUGUAAUAGACGAGCUAUGUCUCCUGUUCCAUUUUCAGCUUGUUCAUAAUGAAUGUACACCAAACUGAAUGAUUAUUGUUUGUAAAAUAGAGUGUUUUAACACUUUAAAAAAUGUAGUAUCAAAACUCAAUGAGAAGUAUUUUCUGAAUCUUUCUCAUGGUUCAGUCUCCUCCCAGUUCCGUCUUAAAUUAAGUGCUCCAUUUAUGAAGAAAACAUUAAGUGAUGUAGUAUUUAUACCUUGUUAAGAAAUAAGUCAAAGUAAAUGUUCGUUAGGCAAGUCAGUCACCUGUAAUAACCAUUCUAGUGUACUGCACUAGAGUUUUUUUUCCCUGUAGUGUUUGUAUAGUUUUUGCAGAAUUAAUGGGACAGUGCACAUGAACAUCUUGAACUGAUUUUAAAAAAAACCCUACUGUACUGUGUAAAUAUUCUUAGGUUUA